CGGGGGGAGCAAGCGUUGUUCGGAUUUACUGGGCGUAAAGGGCGCGUAGGCGGUCAGCACAAGUCAGUUGUGAAAUCUCCGGGCUUAACUCGGAAAGGUCAACUGAUACUGUGCGACUAGAGUGCGGAAGGGGCAACUGGAAUUCUCGGUGUAGCGGUGAAAUGCGUAGAUAUCGAGAGGAACACCUGCGGCGAAGGCGGGUUGCUGGGCCGACACUGACGCUGAUGCGCGAAAGCCAGGGGAGCGAACGGGAUUAGAUACCCCGGUAGUCCUGGCCUUAAACGAUGGAUGCUUGGUGUCUGGAGUUUUAUAGUCUCCGGGUGCCGUAGCUAACGCGUUAAGCAUCCCGCUGGGGAGUACGGUCGCAAGACUG
rnacentral:rRNA from 1 species